rnacentral:rRNA from 1 species
UACGUAGGGCGCGAGCGUUGUCCGGAUUUAUUGGGCGUAAAGAGCUCGUAGGCGGUUGGUCGCGUCUGCCGUGAAAACCCAUGGCUUAACUGUGGGCUUGCGGUGGAUACGGGCUGACUUGAGGUAGGUAGGGGAGAAUGGAAUUCCCGGUGUAGCGGUGAAAUGCGCAGAUAUCGGGAGGAACACCGGUGGCGAAGGCGGUUCUCUGGGCCUUACCUGACGCUGAGGAGCGAAAGCGUGGGGAGCGAACAGG